UGGGGAAUAUUGGACAAUGGGCGAAAGCCUGAUCCAGCCAUGCCGCGUGUGUGAAGAAGGUCUUCGGAUUGUAAAGCACUUUAAGUUGGGAGGAAGGGCAUUAACCUAAUACGUUAGUGUUUUGACGUUACCGACAGAAUAAGCACCGGCUAACUCUGUGCCAGCAGCCGCGGUAAUACAGAGGGUGCAAGCGUUAAUCGGAAUUACUGGGCGUAAAGCGCGCGUAGGUGGUUUGUUAAGUUGGAUGUGAAAUCCCCGGCUCAACCUGGGAACUGCAUUCAAAACUGACUGACUAGAGUAUGGUAGAGGGUGGUGGAAUUUCCUGUGUAGCGGUGAAAUGCGUAGAUAUAGGAAGGAACACCAGUGGCGAAGGCGACCACCUGGACUAAUACUGACACUGAGGUGCGAAAGCGUGGGGAGCAAACA
rnacentral:rRNA from 1 species